rnacentral:misc_RNA from 1 species
CACCAAUUCUAACCAUCCAUAUUUUUUUUUGAUACAAGCGUGUGAUUGAAUUAAUCUAUAAAAAAAAUAUGGAUGGUUAGAAUUGGUGAUGAAUCAAGCUAAUGAAUCAUUGUCAUGGCUGGAUGAUUGGCUUUUAUCAUGUUCAUCCUUUAAUGUCCCAUCCUCUUCUUCAAUGUCAUCAGCACUGUUGACAUUUCUUGUGAGCUCCUUAGCCCUGAGGGCUUGCCGUUCCCAAUCGGUGCGAGACAAAACGAACAUCAUGGUCACCACGCAUGAGCCUUGGGCGGCCAAGAGACCAAGCCAAAGUCCUUUAAAAUCAAAGCCAGCAUAGAAACUUAACCAAAUAGCAACGGGCAUACCCACAAGGUAAAAACAUCCCAAGUUAAUAUUUGCGCCCAUUUUAGGCCUGGCUGUUCCCCUCAGAACACCGCAACCUGUCGUUUGCGGGCAAUUUCCAAGCUCACAAAGCCCGAUUAUAGGCAAAACCAUUGAGGUCAAUGCAAUAAUCUCUGCAUCUUCUGUGAACAUGUUGGCCCAAACCUUCCUCACAAUUACCGCGAAAAACAAUGCGGAAAAUCCCAAGGCGAAGCUUGAAGACAGACCAGUUAUAGCAGCACGCUUCGCAUUUUGGGGAUUAUUGGCACCCAAUUCAUUGCCAACUCUGGUUGACACGCCAAAGCUUAAAGAAGAUGGGAAAAUGUAUAUCAAAGCCGUGGUUUGAAUCAAUAUUCCCAUCGAAGCAACUGUUGCUCUUGGAUUCAAUAACAGCCCGCAUAGCAAAAUCAUAAUCUCAUACCACCACCAUUCAAGGCAAACCGAGAUGCAACUUGGAAUUGCCAAAUUCAAUAAAGAUUUCCACCCUCUUAAGCACUCCAAUGAAAUCCCACCCCAUGUUUUCUUGUGCAUGCCAGAGAGGAUAACGUAGAUGAUCAGUGAAGUUACGAGAUUAAAGUUGGUCCAAAUCCCACUUAGUGCAACACCUUUGAUUCCGAGAUUGAGUACAGACACGAGAAAAUAGUUAAUGGGUAUAUGGCAAAGAAUGGAUAUAGCUGCACAGUAUGUUAGAGGCAGAGUAAUUGAUUGAGUUCUAAGGUAGAUACGCAAAGGGUGUAAAAGGGAUUGCAAGAUUAGGUCAGGGAGAGAAUAAAGAAUGUAUGUUUGUGCUUCUGUGGCUAUAUCAUCUUCUUGGCCACAAAAGAGAAGAAUCUUUUUCAUGUUGAACCAUGAAAAGGCUAUAGGAAAUGAAAUCAAGAUAAGCAAAAGAAUUGUUCUCUGCAUGGUGAGGCCAAGAAGUUUGUAUCUUUUGGCACCAAAAGCUUGGCCGCAGAUUGGUUCCAUUCCCAUUGCAAGGCCAGAGAGAAUAGAAUAACCGGUGAUGUUUGCAAAACCAAUCGCCAGAGAACCACCGGCUAAGGCAAGCUCCCCCAGGCGGCCAAGAAAGAGCAUGGAGAUCAUGGAGCGUGAAUAGAGUAGAAGACCAGUUAAUAUCAUGGGAAGAGCAAUAUUGGCUAUGCAUUUUGCUUCAUUAAUUGCUGGAGAAAGAAGGGUCUUUUCUGGAUUUUGCUUCUGUUGGUGACAUGUUGGAUUCUCGGGGACCAAAGGAGCUAGCACGUCAGGUAUGUCUAUUUUGGUUGAUGGUUCUAAAUGGCUUUUGCAAGAAUCAGGAGGCGAAGAUUUCUGGCACAUAGUUAUGAAAAUCUUCAGAGAGAGGGAGAGAGCGAGAGAGAAGAGGAGGGAGCGAGAGAGAAGAGGAGGGAGAUGUGG